AGUGAACGCUGGCGGUAGGCCUAACACAUGCAAGUCGAACGGCAGCACAGUAAGAGCUUGCUCUUACGGGUGGCGAGUGGCGGACGGGUGAGGAAUACAUCGGAAUCUACUUUUUCGUGGGGGAUAACGUAGGGAAACUUACGCUAAUACCGCAUACGACCUACGGGUGAAAGCAGGGGAUCUUCGGACCUUGCGCGAUUGAAUGAGCCGAUGUCGGAUUAGCUAGUUGGCGGGGUAAAGGCCCACCAAGGCGACGAUCCGUAGCUGGUCUGAGAGGAUGAUCAGCCACACUGGAACUGAGACACGGUCCAGACUCCUACGGGAGGCAGCAGUGGGGAAUAUUGGACAAUGGGCGCAAGCCUGAUCCAGCCAUACCGCGUGGGUGAAGAAGGCCUUCGGGUUGUAAAGCCCUUUUGUUGGGAAAGAAAAGCAGCAGGUUAAUACCCCGCUGUUCUGACGGUACCCAAAGAAUAAACACCGGCUAACCUCGU
rnacentral:rRNA from 1 species